rnacentral:rRNA from 1 species
AACGAACGCUGGCGGCAUGCCUAACACAUGCAAGUCGAACGAGACCUUCGGGUCUUGUGGCGCACGGGUGCGUAACGCGUGGGAACCUGCCCUUAGGUUCGGAAUACCUCCCCGAAAGGGGUGCUAAUACCGGAUAAUGUCUUCGGACCAAAGAUUUAUCGCCUUUGGAUGGGCCCGCGUUGGAUUAGCUAGUUGGUAGGGUAAAAGCCUACCAAGGCGACGAUCCAUAGCUGGUCUGAGAGGAUGAUCAGCCACACUGGGACUGAGACACGGCCCAGACUCCUACGGGAGGCAGCAGUGGGGAAUAUUGGACCAUGGGGGAAAGGCUGAUCCAGCAAUGCCGCGUGAGUGAUGAAAGCCUUAGGGUUGUAAAGCGCUUUUACCCGGGAUGAUAAUGACAGUACCGGGAGAAUAAGCCCCGGCUAACUCCGUG